rnacentral:lncRNA from 1 species
CUGCUGCAGAAAGACGUUUAUUGGGCAGAUGGGGUGCGAGAGAUGCCAGUGGACAGAGUGAGAAGAAGGCAUGUCCUCCAGAGAGGGGGAUGGUGUCCCUGCCUGGGAGCCUAAGCCUGAAUGCACUAAGGGCUGGCACCACAGACGGGCUCAGGGGAGGCCCGCCCACAAGGGCUUCGGGCCCCUCCUUCAUGGAGACACCACCCCUGACUUGGAGCACAUGGCCAUCGUGCUCACCAUUGUCUCGGCUCUUCUCAGGAGCACUGUGGGAUGGGGUUGGAGACUUAGGAGGGUCCUUCAGGAGGGAUGAAGGAGGCUGGUGGCAUAGUGAGCCCGGAUGUGUCAUGUGGGCAUAUGGGAGAUGCUGGCCCCAAGAAUGAUGUUCAGGUUUGAGCAGGACCAUUGGACUUAGAACUUGUGUUUGCUUUGGGCUCAUUUGGAACGGGAAGCUGGAGAAAGUGUGAAGGUGUUGUACCAAACCGUGAGCACAGAUGGUCUGUCCCUGGGUUCCAGGCAGGCAGUGCAUGGCACACAGUGGGACAGUUGCCACGUGUGCACAGUGGUACAGGCACACAGUUGUGCCAAGCUUGUCUUUUAUGUAAUAAGGAAGGGAAUCUGGGAUGUAUGUGUAGAAUGAUUCCGUUUUUUGCUUCCUUCCUGAAGAGCCCCUCCCCAGCCCUUGCAUGAUGGGCAGGGGAUGGGGUGGGGUGGGGUAGGGCAUCAGUUACUUCCCUCUGGCCCCCAGGGCUGCCUGCCGCCUCAUAUAGGACAGGAUGUCCAUCUUGACGUUGCUGACUGUGGUCCGGUGGUACCAGCGCAUAAUUGGUAUGCCAUCUGGCCCCACCAGGAACUUCUCAAAGUUCCAGCGGAUGUCAUGGAUCUUCAUGGGUUCCCAAAAGAGGCGGCCAGGUGAGCCCAGGAGUUCCGCAGUGGGAGGGCAGGAGUUCUGGAGCAGGGGUGAGGGGGCAUCAGUCUUAACUUGAGGCUCCUCUAACCUCCCCUCCCUUCCCUUCCAAGGAGAAAACUGUCUGGCACUGAGGGAAGGGCCCCAGUUUGGGAACAAGAACACUGGACUGUUCACCUGUAUGGUAACUGGAAGUUGUAGGCCCCUGAGAUGCCCUGUGGGCCCUGUCUUCUCUCUCCAGUAGGUUGCUGGGACCAUGGGUCUGCCAAGCCCUCUCACGGGACCACUAGACCAAUGCCAGGGCUCUGGGCCGAGCAGAUAGGGGGAGCUUCCUCCAGAUUACCCACUCUCACCUUCAGGAAAGUGUAGAACUUCUGCUCUUUCUCCCCGUUCACGUCUCCUUUCUCAAAGAGCUGGAAAUUAGGCACAAAGCCCCCACCCGGUCGAACGUAC